GAGUUUGAUCAUGGCUCAGAGCGAACGUUAGCGGCGGGCUUAACACAUGCAAGUCGAACGAGAAUGAAGGCUUCGGCCUUCUAGUAAAGUGGCGGACGGGUGCGUAACACGUGGGUAAUGUACCUUCCAGCGGGGGACAACCGUCCGAAAGGAUGGCUAAUACCGCGUACGUCGGCGAGGGCUACGGUCCAUGCCGGGAAAGAUGGCCUCUCCUUGGAAGCUAUCACUGGAAGAUCAACCCGCGGCCCAUCAGCUAGUUGGUGAGGUAACGGCUCACCAAGGCUAAGACGGGUAGCUGGUCUGAGAGGAUGAUCAGCCACACUGGGACUGCGACACGGCCCAGACUCCUACGGGAGGCAGCAGUGGGGAAUAUUGGGCAAUGGGCGAAAGCCUGACCCAGCCACGCCGCGUGAGUGAUGAAGGCCUUCGGGUCGU
rnacentral:rRNA from 1 species